rnacentral:rRNA from 1 species
AGAUUUGGACCCGCCGCCCGCCGGCGGCCGGAUUGUAAUCUGGAGAGGCAACCCCCGGUGUGCGCGUCCGGUCCAAGUCCCCUGGAACGGGGCGUCGGAGAGGGUGAGAAUCCCGUACCCGACCGGCGCAGCACGCCAGCGUGGGGUGCCUUCGACGAGUCGAGUUGUUUGGGAAUGCAGCUCAAAGCGGGUGGUAAGCUCCAUCUAAAGCUAAAUACGGGCGGGAGACCGAUAGCGCACAAGUAGAGUGAUCGAAAGAUGAAAAGUACCUUGAAAAGGGGGUUAAACAGUACGUGAAAUUGUUGAAAGGGAAGCGCUCGGGACCGUCGAGGGGAAGGGGAUGACCGGGUUUUUGUGACCCGCUAUCUCCGCCUUCUCACAUGCCAGCAUCGGUUGCGGCGGUGGGUUAAAGGGUCCGGGAAGGUGGCCCCCCCCCGCGACGGGGGGGGUGUUAUAGCCCGGGCCGCCAUGCCGCUUCGCCGCGACCGAGGACCGCACGACGUAAGGAUGCUGGUGAGAUUAGGUCCUCAGCGACCCGUCUUGAAACACGGACCAAGGAGUCUAACAUCUAUGCGAGUGUUUGGGUGGGAAAACCCUUGCGCGUAAUGAAAGUGAUUCAAGUUUGGGAGAUCGACCCCUUCCGAGGGCGUACCAUCUGCCGAUCCUGAUGUCUUCGGAUGGAAUUGAGCAGGAGCAUAGCUGUUGGGACCCGAAAGAUGGUGAACUAUGCCUGAAUAGGGUGAAGCCAGAGGAAACUCUGGUGGAGGCUCGCAGCGGUUCUGACGUGCAAAUCGAUCGUCGAAUUUGGGUAUAGGGCGA